CAGAGAAUAGUUUAAUUAAAAUAGUAAUUUUGGAGAUUAUUGAUAAAGAAUAUUCUUUUUCUCUGA
rnacentral:tRNA from 1 species